UGCGAGGACAGCAAAGUCUGGACAAUGGAGCUGAGCCUAGUCCUGCUGUUCCUGACCUGCACUGCCCUUUUUGCACCCCAGGGAGCUGCUGCUGAGCCCCACAGUCUUCAUUAUAACCUCACGGUGCUGUCCUGGGAUGGAUCUGUGCAGUCAGGGUUUCUCGCUGAGGGACAUCUGGAUGGUCAGCUCUUCCUGCUCUGUGACAGGCAGAAAGGCAGGGCAGGGCCCCGGGGACAGUGGGCAGAAGCAGUCCUGGGAGCUGAGACCUGGGACACAGAGACUAAAGACUUGACAGAGAAUGAGCAGGAGCUCAGGAGGACCCUGGCUCAUAUCAAGGGCCAGAGAGGAGGAAGAGGAGAUAAAUAUAUGAAGGUGCUGUUUGACACAUAAUUUAAUAGGGAAGAAAGAGACAGUGUAACUGACCAGUGCUGGGUCUCAUCAUCCUGCAAUUUCAGAACAACUAUGAAUACAAAAAGAAUUUUAAAAACCCAGUCCUGCCUAGAAGGUGGGAGUCAUCUCUAAAUAUGGUGGCCCUGGGGCAGCUGGCCUCCCUGCCAGGCUUCUUCCAUGGGGGCCCUUUCUGCAGUAACUGUGAUUUCUUCCCAUUUCACUCUGCCCUGUGUCCUGACUCAAGCGACAAGGUGUGUCUGCGGCUGUGCUCACACCUGGAGGAAACCUCAAUGGUGACAUGGUGACCCUAGCAGCACAUCCUCUUUCCUGUGUCAAGGAGCAUCGUCCAGGGAGGUGAGAAGAAGGCAGUCCUCCCUAGAAUUGAAGAACCAGAUGGGCUGGGCAGAUCAAGCACAGCCCUGAGAUCCAACUGUCCCUCCUAUGCGCCUGGGUUUCUUCACUGGACACCAGCGUGAGUCAACUUUCCUAUAAAGCAGAACAAGCACAAGAUUGGACCAUGUUAGAGGAGGAAUGGUGUCAUCUCCACUUCUGGAGAGAUCCCUGUCCCCAUGUUUGGGGGAAGGACCAAGCCUCACUCCCAUGCAGAGAGGAAGCUCUGGCUGUAACUGCACCUGUGGAGAGUGGAGAGACAAGAAGUGUGAGCUAUUUAUAAAACUGAGCACCUGACUGCCACGGGAGUGAAUAGUGACCACACACAGCAAGACCUGGGACAUGGCCGUGACUGUAUCCAGAACUGACAGAACUAAUCUAUGGUAUUAGAAAUCAAGAGAGUGUCUGCUGUAGGGUUGGGGAGGGUGAUUUAUAACCAAGUAGAACCCAAUGGUGUUUCCUGGAGGCUGGCAAUGCUGUUCCUUGAUGUGGCCACUAUUUACCUGAGUGUUCACUUUGUGAAAAUCCACGGCCUACUUAUGGUUUGUCCACCUUUCUCCAUGCAUGUCGUCCUUCAUUCAAGUAUACAUUCCUGAUGUUUUGAAACAAUUCUCUCUAAGCUAAUACAGAAUCUCCAUUACUGAAAGUCCUUAGAAAUGCUGCAUUGGAAAAAAUUAGUCCAAUUAUUAAAAAUCCAUGAAAUAAAUGCUGUGACUCAGACAUUAAGAGGAGAAUCUACAACAAGAGCAGUAGGCUUGGGAGCUGACAGAAGAACAGCUUUGGAAAUGGCUGUUGAGCCAGGAACUAGGAAUCAAAACCCAAAAAGGCCCAUGCAAGGUGGAGGGUGUGAAAUGACGCCCCAGUAGUGCAUGAAUGAAUGAGUCAUGGGCAGUGGCUCAUGGGUUGCUUGGUCAGUCAGGAUCUUGGGUAAAAUAAAGUUGGAAAACUGGGGAAUGGAAGAGAGAGGUAUGCACAGACCUCUUGACAUGGGCAGAGCUUGAGAAGAUAGUGGUUGCAGGUUUCCCCAAAUGGAGAACAUCAAUAAAAAGGUAGAAAUUUUACAAAGAGACCAGAUAGAAAGUUUGGAGCUGAAAAGUGCAAUAACUGAAAUGAAAAAAGUCACUAGAGGGGCUCCAGAGCAAAUUUCACCAUGCAGAAUGGAGAAUCAGCAAGCUUGAAGAUAAGACAACUGAAAUUCUCUAGUUCAUUAGCAGAAAGAGAAAAACUUAUGAAGAAAAAUGAACAGAACUUUAAAGAUCUGUGAGACAACAUCAAGCACAUGCACUUUGGGAGUCCUCAGAGAAAGGAGAAGAAUGACUAUUUAAAGAAUAACUCCAAACCUUCCAAAUUUGAUGAAAAACAUUAUUCAUCCAACAAACUUGUUAAAUUUUAAGCAGCAAAAGAAUUUAAAGAGGUCCACACCGAGACAACAUUAUAAUCAACCCAUCAAAAGCCAAUGACAAACACAGCAUAUUGAAAGGAAUAACAGAGAAGGAACUUUUCAGGUUCAAUGGAUCCUCAAUAAGAUUGCAGCCCAGUUUUCUUCAGAAACCAUAGCGUUCAGAAGGCAUUGGGAUGUUGACAAAUUUAGAGGUCAGAAAAAAAAAGACUGUCAUGCAAUAAUCGUGUGUCUGGAAAAACUCUCCUUCAGAAAUAAUGCAGAUAUAUGUGUGUGUAUAUAUAUAUAUGACUAUACAUAGUACUACAUAUAUAUAUAACUAUAUAUAGUACUACUAUGAAAUUAUAUAUAUAUAGUACUAUAUAUAGUAGUCCUACUAUAAAAGCUAGUAGUAAUAUGUAUAUUUUUGGUGUUUUUAUGUGUGUGUGUGUGUGUGUAUAUAUAUAGUACUAUAUAUAGUAGUAUAUAAAGCUAGUAGUAAUAUGUAUAUUUUUAGUGUUUAAUUCUUCUUUUGUUUUUCCUAUUUGGUUUAAAAGAAAAUGCUCAUUGACUGAUGAAUGAAUAAACAACAUGUAGUAUAUUUCUA
rnacentral:sRNA from 1 species